rnacentral:rRNA from 1 species
CCAGAGAACUUAGCAGAGAUGCUUUGGUGCCUUCGGGAACUCUGAGACAGGUGCUGCAUGGCUGUCGUCAGCUCGUGUUGUGAAAUGUUGGGUUAAGUCCCGCAACGAGCGCAACCCUUAUCCUUUGUUGCCAGCGGCUCGGCCGGGAACUCAAAGGAGACUGCCGGUGAUAAACCGGAGGAAGGUAGGGAUGACGUCAAGUCAUCAUGGCCCUUACGGCCAGGGCUACACACGUGCUACAAUGGCGCAUACAAAGAGAAGCGACCUCGCGAGAGCAAGCGGACCUCAUAAAGUGCGUCGUAGUCCGGAUUGGAGUCUGCAACUCGACUCCAUGAAGUCGGAAUCGCUAGUAAUCGUAGAUCAGAAUGCUACGGUGAAUACGUUCCCGGGCCUUGUACACACCGCCCGUCACACCAUGGGAGUGGGUUGCAAAAGAAGUAGGUAGCUUAACCUUCGGGAGGGCGCUUACCACUUUGUGAUUCAUGACUGGGGUGAAGUCGUAACAAGGUAAGCGUAGCGAG